UACGGGGGGGGCAAGCGUUGUUCGGAAUUACUGGGCGUAAAGGGCUCGUAGGCGGCCAACUAAGUCAGACGUGAAAUCCCUCGGCUUAACCGGGGAACUGCGUCUGAUACUGGAUGGCUUGAGUUUGGGAGAGGGAUGCGGAAUUCCAGGUGUAGCGGUGAAAUGCGUAGAUAUCUGGAGGAACACCGGUGGCGAAGGCGGCAUCCUGG
rnacentral:rRNA from 1 species